rnacentral:rRNA from 1 species
UAAGGAAUAUUGGUCAAUGGACGCAAGUCUGAACCAGCCAUGCCGCGUGGAGGAUGAAGGCCCUGUGGGUUGUAAACUUCUUUUAUCGGGAAGAAACACUUCAUUUCUAUGGGGCUUGACGGGACCGGAUGAAUAAGCACCGGCUAACUCCAUG